GGGAGGGGAGGCCCCGGAGGAAGGGCACUGUGAAAGCCCAGCGGGUCAGGUUGGACUCGUGAGCCGUUAGGGCAGAGGAGCUUUUCCUUUGCAGGCCUCUGUUCCCAUCCCUUCGCUGCCUGCCGCAGGAACGGCCUGCACGGCAGCUCCUUGGUGGAGCUUCCCGUUGCCAGAAGUCUUGGAUCUGAUGAAAGCGGAGGAUUUAUGUACCUGGAAAACCCACCCUCGAGCACUCUGCGGCCAGGCUCAUUGAGCGUCUGCUGUACAUCGCAAGCUCUUGCCAUUCACCUUGUGCUACCGGCGUGAGCAGGAGAAGGAGACAACAUGCAGUGCCUACAACUUUAUACGUUGCCAGAGCCAAGCAAGCUCCCAGAUUCAAGUUUUUGUUCUAGAUGUCGACCCCUUCACUUCUGAGUGGCUUCAGACUUCUGUGCAAGGACUUCUCUCCUCCCCUCCGGGCAGAAAGGAAAAACUAAAGAAGACAGCCUCCAAAGUCUGACCUUGCCAAGACGCUCCAUCCCUACGUGUCUGAAGACUGUCAAAGCCAAGACCCAGAAAACAUUUUCUUGGGAUAAUUUAUCUUGGCAUACACAUGUAAAUUAUUAGUUCUUCUGUAUCCUGCGUUGAUCUAUAAAUCGUACUAGUUCGUGUCCACAGCUGAAGCUUGCCAGGGCUCUGGGAGACCUUAUCAUCCUGUUUUACCUAAAUGCUGAUUGAAUGCGUAGUGCCAAAGGAUAGCAACAGGCUGCUUAUGUUUCACUGUGACCCUUUCACCCUUGCUCCUGUGCAGGAGUACUUGACGGCGUGCUAGCACAAUGUAUGGUGUGAUUGCACAGUGUGAGAUAGCAUCAGUCUUGGUAUUAUGCCCGCUGCACGAAGGGGGAAGUGAAAGGCUAGAGAGGUGGAGUUAAGUUGCCCGGGGUCACACAAAGAAGCAGUGGCGGAGGUAGGGGCAAAACCCAGGAGACUCAGCUCCCAUUUCCUUGAUCUGUUCCCUAGAUAGCACUGCUGCACAGUGUUUAUUACUUGGGGAGGGGUGGCGAGCACUUGAAACUUCAAGAGAAAGCUUGUUUCCCCGAGCUUUUCAAGCCUGGUUGCUAGGAGGGAAGCUCAGGAUAGCUUGGCUGGAGUUCUGAAGAGAGGUUC
rnacentral:lncRNA from 1 species